GAAAGAACCCUUAAAUGCUGUCCAUGGUUAGGAAAGGCUGCCCGUGGUUACGGAAAUAUAAACAAUGUCAAAGUUCUGAAACCGCAAUGAAUCUGGCUCAGGAAAUGGGAGAGAAAUGCAAGGAAGCCCAGUCUAUCCAAAAGGAAGAAAAAUGCUUUUUGACAACAUCAUAGAGGGGCAGAAUGUAAUGAUUGAGGAAAUAUGUGGCCGAGAAGAGUUGAAAAGGACAUGGGUGUGAAUGAGAAUUGAUCCUCACUGGUCUCCAGAUGGUUGCCAGGUUUUGGUGGGAAUGCUUCCUAGCAUCAGAACACAGCAAGAUUGCCCUGGUGAGCUGCUGAACUUUCACAUAGAUUAAUAAUCUGAAUUGCUGGAGUGAUCUAGAAUAUGACACCACUGUCAUGAAAGGAGAUGAUGAUGAUGAUGAUGAUGAUGAUGAUGGCAACAGCAGUUCACUAAAAAUCUCAUUGGGAAAAGUAAUCAUGGACAUAUUUAGAUGCAAAAGUGUUGGGUCUUGGUCUCUCUCUCUCUCUCUCUUUGUUGGCAACUUUCCAGGAAAUGGAGAGGUUAUGUGAUGCAAUCUUGGCUAACCAUU